ACAAAUGAAUUUUUAAAAAAUAUAGGUGCUAAAAGAAAUUAAUACAUGGGUACAAAAUAAAACUAAAAAGAAAAUACUACAAAUUUAAAAAAAUGUUGCAAAUUAAAAAUGGGUACAAACUCAAAUAUAAAUAUAUGAUACAAAGUUUAGGCAUAAAACAUAAAUAUAUCAUGUUUGUACCAUACUUGACUAAUCUCGAAACUACCAAGCACCGGUCAACGUUAUACGGUCAAUGACCCAAAAGAGUUUCCCUCCAACCAGGAGGCCAAUCAUAACGCGACACGUGUUGACAUCAGAAGCCAAUCAUAGCGCGACACGUGUCAACAUCAGAAGCCAAUUACAACACGACACGUGUCAAUGUAAAAACAAAGCUAGAAACUCUCUUCUAUAAAAUGAGAUCAUUCUCCCACAAAUAUUUCCUAAUGUCAUUUGUACUAAAUCAUUCACUAGUACUCUUUAAAGGAGAGCUUGAACCUAUGUACUUGUGUAAACCCUUCACAAUUAAUGAGAACUUCUCUACUCCGUGGACGUAGUCAAUCUGGGUGAACCACGUACAUCUUGUGUUUGCUUUCUUGUUUCUAUCCAUUUACAUACUUAUCCACACUAGUGACCGGGGCAAUCUAGCGAGGUCACAAACCUAAUACUUUCUGUUGUACCAAAGUCCUCACUGAUUUUGUGCAUCAACGUAUCAUAUGUAAUUUUUCUAUCGUGGAUUAAAUAUACAAUGUCACGUGACGGUAUACACAUGGGUACAAACACAAAUAAAACUUUAAAAAAUAUGGACACAAAAAGAAACUAAUAUAUGGGUACAAAUUAAAAAUGAAAAGAAAAUUGGUACAAAUUAAAAAUAGGUACAAACUAAAAAUAAAAAUAUAUGAUAAAAAAUUUAGCUAUAAAUAUAAAUAUACUAAUUUUAACAUUUUUAACACUAAAGAAAUAUAUUUAAAAAUAAAAAUAUUUUAUUUUUCAAAUAAUUAGUGAUGUUAUUAAUACCCAAAGACCUUGAUCAAAAAUAAAAAAUUAAUAGAAUUUUUAUCAAUGAACAAAAAGAAAGAUGUAAACCUAAUUUCUUCUUAAAAAUAUUUUCCGUAAUUAUGGUUUCAAUGUAUUGAAUAUUUUCAUGGGAUUGGAGACACUUAGAAUGGUAGUUAGUCGUUAACUGUGGGUGGAGUGGUGUACUGAUGAAUCAUGACGAUACGGAUUUGGAUAUUAGAAAUAUAAAAAUGAAUAAAAUGCGAGUCUUAUUCACUUGGAUUUGAUUCAAAGGAAUUAGAUACCCUUCGGAUUCUCUCACAGGAGAUUCUGAAAAUCAAUUAAUAAUAACCGUUCAUUAAAGAUUGUGCAGUCAUAAUUUUUUUUUUACGUAAAACAAGAUUGUUUUACUUUUGAAAAAUAUAAAAAGCAUUUAAUUGUGGCCCUAUGAUCUUUAAUGAACGGUUGAUAUUAAUUGAUCCAUUUGAUCCCUAACGAGGAGAACCAAUGAGGAUCUAAUUCCUGAUUCAAAGACAAGCAAUUGUUAUAUAAAAUUGUUGUUUGGGUACACCGACCCGAUGUCUAAUGAUUAUCAUAAAUUUUAGUUGGUGCACGUAUAAAAAGCAAGUAUCAUUAGGAGGAAUAAAUAUUAUCGCGUACUUUUUUUUUGGGCACAAAAUUAUCGUUUAUUAUCUUAAAAUCUAAGUUGAUACGAGAUUUGAUUUAGAAUUUUUCUUUUAUGGACAAAAGAAUAGUAAGCCGUUUGGUAGUCCUUCUGUUCAUGUUAUAUAUAUGGACCGAGUUAUUGUAUAGUUUUCAUCUCAAUCAACUCUUACUUUUCACAAGUAAACUUAUUCGAUUUUGAGUUUAUCUAAAAUUUGGGACGGUAUGACGUAUAAAUGAAUUA
rnacentral:lncRNA from 1 species